CUUCUAUGACGUUAGCGGCGGACGGGUGAGAAACACGUGGGCAACCUGCCUGUAAGACUGGGAUAACUUCGGGAAACCGAAGCUAAUACCGGAUAGGAUCUUCUCCUUCAUGGGAGAUGAUUGAAAGAUGGUUUCGGCUAUCACUUACAGAUGGGCCCGCGGUGCAUUAGCUAGUUGGUGAGGUAACGGCUCACCAAGGCAACGAUGCAUAGCCGACCUGAGAGGGUGAUCGGCCACACUGGGACUGAGACACGGCCCAGACUCCUACGGGAGGCAGCAGUAGGGAAUCUUCCGCAAUGGACGAAAGUCUGACGGAGCAACGCCGCGUGAGUGAUGAAGGCUUUCGGGUCGUAAAACUCUGUUGUUAGGGAAGAACAAGUACAAGAGUAACUGCUUGUACCUUGACGGUACCUAACCAGAAAGCCACGGCUAACUACGUGCCAGCAGCCGCGGUAAUACGUAGGUGGCAAGCGUUAUCCGGAAUUAUUGGGCGUAAAGCGCGCGCAGGCGGUUUCUUAAGUCUGAUGUGAAGCCCACGGCUCAACCGUGGAGGGUCAUUGGAAACUGGGGAACUUGAGUGCAAAAAAAAA
rnacentral:rRNA from 1 species